rnacentral:rRNA from 1 species
GACGAACGCUGGCGGCGUGCCUAAUACAUGCAAGUUGAGCGCUGAAGGUUGGUACUUGUACCGACUGGAUGAGCAGCGAACGGGUGAGUAACGCGUGGGGAAUCUGCCUUUGAGCGGGGGACAACAUUUGGAAACGAAUGCUAAUACCGCAUAAAAACUUUAAACACAAGUUUUAAGUUUGAAAGAUGCAAUUGCAUCACUCAAAGAUGAUCCCGCGUUGUAUUAGCUAGUUGGUGAGGUAAAGGCUCACCAAGGCGAUGAUACAUAGCCGACCUGAGAGGGUGAUCGGCCACAUUGGGACUGAGACACGGCCCAAACUCCUACGGGAGGCAGCAGUAGGGAAUCUUCGGCAAUGGACGAAAGUCUGACCGAGCAACGCCGCGUGAGUGAAGAAGGUUUUCGGAUCGUAAAACUCUGUUGGUAGAGAAGAACGUUGGUGAGAGUGGAAAGCUCAUCAAGUGACGGUAACUACCCAGAAAGGGACGACUAACUACGUG